rnacentral:rRNA from 1 species
GAUUAGAGUUUGAUCCUGGCUCAGGAUGAACGCUAGCGGCAGGCCUAACACAUGCAAGUCGAGCGGGAUUUGAAAAUAGCUUGCUAUUUUUGAUGAGAGCGGCGCACGGGUGCGUAACGCGUAUGCAACCUACCUUAUACAGGGGUAUAGCCCGGAGAAAUUCGGAUUAAUCCCCCAUAGUACUGUAUUAUCGCAUGAUAGAGCAGUUAAAGUUUCGGCGGUAUAAGAUGGGCAUGCGUCCUAUUAGCUAGAUGGUAAGGUAACGGCUUACCAUGGCGACGAUAGGUAGGGGGCCUGAGAGGGUGGUCCCCCACACUGGUACUGAGACACGGACCAGACUCCUACGGGAGGCAGUAGUGAGGAAUAUUGGUCAAUGGGCGCAAGCCUGAACCAGCCAUGCCGCGUGCAGGAAGAAUGCCCUAUGGGUUGUAAACUGCUUUUAUUUGGGGAUAAACCUCUUUACGUGUAGAGAGCU